rnacentral:rRNA from 1 species
GAGAGAGUUCAAGAGUACGUGAAACUGCUCAGAGGGAAACGGGUGGGCCCUCGAAGUCCAGAGGCGGGAGGAUUCAACCGCGAACAUCCGGAGGACAGCCGGGCGCGCUGCGCCGCCCCUGAAGGGCGGAGGCCGCGCCAAUCGGAGACGUCGCUUCCGGGUGGUCCGGCGCAUUUCUUUCCCGUCCAGAGGACGCCGCCACCGGUCGGGUGCCACAGCGGCCGUGAGGACUGGAUCCGGCAGGGGUCCGGGGGCCAUCCGGCCCCCGGUCUUGGCCUUCCAGUCCGGGCACGCCACCCGACCGAUUCGAACUUAAGAGGUCCACUGGGCCUCGCCGCCUCCUUUCCUCCUGCAGGGAGCGGACGCCGCGGCAGGAGUGCCCCGCACCUCCGUCGCAAGGGCCAGACCCUGGGACGCGAGGGAGCGAGCUUAGGGCUUCGCUGGCCGCGGACUUUUCCGCGGGAGGAUGGCGGCGGUGGGCGGCGAGUAGGUCGGUCACCCACCCGACCCGUCUUGAAACACGGACCAAGGAGUCUAACAUGCGUGCGAGUCAAUGGGUCUCGAACAAGCCCAAAGGCGGAGCGAAAGCAAAAAUGGGCGGGAGGUCUCCCGCCCGCUAGCCGAGAUCCCCCUCCUGACGGGAGGGGGCGCACCGGCGGCCUGCCACGACCGCCUCGCGCGGUCCGGCGGAGUCUGAGCACGCACGUUGGGACCCGAAAGAUGGUGAACUAUGCCCGGGCGGGACGAAGCCAGAGGAAACUCUGAUGGAGGUCCGCAGCGGUCUGACG